rnacentral:rRNA from 1 species
GGGAGCUUCGACCAGACGCGAACAGAUUCGAAACGAGCCGCCAGUCACGCGUCCGCUGUCCUUCUCCCCCCAUUUAUUUCGUGCCGCUGCGGUGCUGUCGCCUGGCCCCGUUCCCAAUCCCAAUCCAAUCUCAUCGCCAAGCAAUUACUCCAGCACUCCAGCCCUCCCCACCAGCGUGACCUCGGCAGUAUGGCGAGCCCGCAGUGCUGCGCGAACCCACCGGCGCUCAAUCCCGCCGCCGGCGAGGGCAAGGUCGUGGACAGCUUCGGCGGGAUCAAGGCGUACGUCGCCGGCGCCAAAGAGUCGAAGGCCGCCGUCGUCCUCAUCUCCGACGUCUACGGGUUUGAAGCGCCGAAUCUGAGGAAGAUAGCCGAUAAAGUUGCUUCGUCUGGAUAUUUUGUUGUGGUGCCAGAUUUCUUACAUGGGGAUCCAUUUGUACCUGAAGACGCUGACAGACCAAUAGCAGUGUGGAUAAAGGAGCAUACCCCGGGAAAAGCAUUUGAAGAGGCAAAACCUGUUAUUGCUGCUCUAAAGGAACAAGGAGCGUCUAGCGUUGGGGCUGCAGGUUAUUGCUGGGGUGCAAAGGUAGUUGCAGAGUUAGCGAAAGCUAAUGAGAUCCAGGCAGCCGUUAUGUCGCACCCUUCAUUUGUUACUGUCAAUGAUAUAGAAGAGGUGAAAUGCCCCAUCGCUAUACUUGGAGCUGAAACUGACGUAAUGUCCCCACCAGAAUUGGUCAAGAAGUUCGAGCAGGUUCUAUCCUCUAACUCAGGGAUUGCUCACUUUGUCAAGAUAUUCCCUGGGGUUUCUCAUGGAUGGACCGUGAGAUACAAAAGCGAAGACGCAGCUGCUGUGAAGAGCGCCGAGGAAGCCCUGGCGGACAUGAUUGACUGGUUCAACAAGAACCUCAAGUGAACCUAAUGAAUUGGCGGCCAUCCUUUUGUAAUAAGCCAGUGUCACUCUUCAGGAGUCACCACGCGAGCAUCCACGGUUUAUGUUAUGGUCUUAGCUAUAGCCUAUAGGGCAUGCGUCUUUGUCUGCUGCAGGUCUGCUGUUUUGUGAGUUGGCACUUUCCUGGUUAUUUUUGUUUUAAAAUGCUCACCGGGGGGAAAAGGCUCCUCACCUGAAUAUAUUUCAAAAAGAUUUCCCAGAGAAUGAGAAGGAUCAUAAAGGGGCGGACUGAAGAAGGCAGAGCAGCUGGCAAGGUGGUGGUGAAGAACUCAGCAAUACGGGUGAAUUGCGGUCGAAUACCGGUAGCCCGCCACACCCUGCGGGCCGCCGGACAAGUGAAGAAGAGGUGUUCAUGGUCCUCCACAGGGUUGUUGCAUCUUGGACAGGUGUCCGAGCUCAGUAUGUGCUUCUUACGCAGGUUCUUGCUAGUGUUUAGGCGGUCCAAGUAGAAUAACCACCCGAAGAUCAUUACUUUCUUCUGCACCCUGGAAUCCCAAACCAGGGCAAGAACGGGUCAGAGAGCUGGGUGUUAAGUGAUGCAUAUGCGCCGCACGUGGUGAAAUUUUCAUCAUUAAGCAGCCUCGUGUCCGGCUCUUGAGAGGUAGUGAAACAUCUUGCAACAAAGAGUUUAGAAAGGCAAGUUUUGUGACUGCAGUAGUGGUUAGCGAUUACGAAGAGCAAGCUGAUCCCUUCCUGCAAAAUAGUGGCUACCAUGGCAUUUUGUUUUGUGUGGUGGGAGAACAAAGCAGGGUAAAUAACAGCUCAGGAAGGAGCCACUGAUCUAACCAAAAGAAGGUGGACUGUCCAUUACCAAUGGAGCAGUGUGAAAUCUCUCUCAGACUCUGCAACUGUUUAUAAAUAGUUUUUGCAAAGAAGGAGCUAUCUCUACCAUACCCAAUGAGAAGUGGGG